rnacentral:rRNA from 1 species
GCAUCCCUCAGGGAGGUAGCACGACUAAAAACAACGCUGCCGUAUGCAAGUCAGGGAACUGGCAACACGAUCGAAUUGCGGGGACCUCCUAAAGCUUCACAUACCACUUACCCUUGAAAAGGGGUAACACGGUAAUAAUUGUGAGGAUGCUACAAUGGACAAUCCGCAGCGAAGACCCUACAGCGUAAGCCACGGGUAACGUUCACAGACUAAGUGAUUGUGGGUAGUAUACUACUUAAGAUAUAGUCGAGCCCUAGCUGAAAGGCUAGGGGUAAAGGUCCGUAGGUGAACCUGCGGAAGGAUCAUUA